GUACUUACCUGGCAGGGGAGACACCUUGAUCAUGAAGGUGGUUCUCCCAGGGUGAGGCUCACCCAUUGCACUCCAGGUAUGCAAUUUCCUGCAAUUUCCCCAAAUGUGGGAAACUCAACUGCAUAAUUUGUGGUAGUGGGGGACUGCUUUCAUGCUUUCCCCUC